CGCUACGGACUUAAAAUCCGUCGAAUUUAAAAAUCGUGAGGGUUCAAGUCCCUCUAUCCCCA
rnacentral:tRNA from 1 species